GACGAACGCUGGCGGCGUGCCUAAUACAUGCAAGUAGAACGCUGAAGAGAGGAGCUUGCUCUUCUUGGAUGAGUUGCGAACGGGUGAGUAACGCGUAGGUAACCUGCCUGGUAGCGGGGGAUAACUAUUGGAAACGAUAGCUAAUACCGCAUGAUAUUAAUUGUCGCAUGAUAAUUAAUUGAAAGAUGCAAUUGCAUCACUACCAGAUGGACCUGCGUUGUAUUAGCUAGUUGGUGAGGUAACGGCUCACCAAGGCGACGAUACAUAGCCGACCUGAGAGGGUGAUCGGCCACACUGGGACUGAGACACGGCCCAGACUCCUACGGGAGGCAGCAAUAGGGAAUCUUCGGCAAUGGGGGGAACCCUGACCGAGCAACGCCGCGUGAGUGAAGAAGGUUUUCGGAUCGUAAAGCUCUGUUGUAAGAGAAGAACGGGUGUGAGAGUGGAAAGUUCACAC
rnacentral:rRNA from 1 species